UUCAUAAUAUGCAAUGUCCAGAUGAUUAUUUAUUCAAUUUUUUCUUCUUCACACUCUAGCUCUCCCUUUUCUUAAUAUGAAAAACUCAUUCAAAUGCCUCCAUUAACCAUAAUACCCCGGCUAAUAAAUUCAAUUUUCCUCACUUCUCACGCUUUGUGUCGUCGAUGCUCUCCGUCGUCGAUUUAGUCAGCUGUGGUUGCAGAUGCUUUCGAACCGCCUUCAUGUCGCCGCUGAUGUGCGUUGAUCCCAAACCUGCAAUCGCGCUGCCGCCUGGGUUCUCGCCGCCUCGGUGAUAGGUGGACUCCUCUGUCUAGGUUCUGAAGCUGCUUGUCCCCUCCCAAGUAGUGACCGCUCUGCCCCCGUAUCCAUUGGUUUGGUCUAGAGUACCGCCCCCAAAUUUGGCAGAUCGCCGGCAGAUUCGGUGGAGCACGUAAAGUUUUUUGAGAAUCCCUGACGAUGAUGACAUCCCCUUUAUCAACCUUGGCACCCUUCUCCCUCAACCUAGCGCUUCUCCGUUGUUGCCAUAACAAGACCGACGCUACUUGGAGAAAUAACCAGAGAGCGCUAUUUGAAAAGUAUUGAGUGUCGGGGCCACAUAGAGCACAUACAGCGAGACUAUGAAAGCAGAGAUCAUAGCAACUGCGACCAGAACAGAGCGGGGAGAUCUAACCGACGGCCAGAGCAGAUUUUCAUGAUCAUGUUUUCCAAUUCGUGGGCACCCGGCAAGAAGGUUCAGCUCUUGGAGUCCACGAUCCAGAGACAUUUUCUUGCCACGGCCAAAUUUAUGGGAUCUCCAAGCUCCCAUUUAGAUUUGUGCGACAUGGAUUGAAGACCAAAUGCAACAGAUGAAUCUGAAAUUUUAACAAGGGUGUACUGUGUUUGAAGCUUGCUAAUGAGAGAACCUCACUGAUUGUAUGGAUGUUCAGAUAAAGAGAUGAGCUGCAGGAAAACAAAAAACCAAUAUGCAGUACUAUCAUCAUUAUAAGAUGGAUUUGUUUGCCAUGGUAAUGGAUGCAAGAAGUUAAGAAAUAUGAUAUUAAGUGACUGUUAUUUAUUAAGUCACAAGGGUUUGGAAGUAAUUGCUACCGGAUGCAAGGAACUUACACAUCUUGAAAUCAAUGGAUGUCACAACAUUUGAGCUUUGGGCCUAGAAUCUGUUAGAAGAUUUUUUUGUUUAUUCUUUGUUAUUGUUUGCUGUGUUUGUUUCUCUGUGUAUUGCUAAUAUACCAUUUCAUUGCUUUUUGUUUCCUGUAUAGCAUAUUAUUUUUUUAAUUUGUUCUCAAUCUGGCUUAUGUGUUUGUUACAUAUCUUUGGUUGCUACAAACAUUAGCUAAAUAUAUGUGAUUCAGGCAAUCGUCUA